rnacentral:rRNA from 1 species
CGCGGCCUAUCAGCUUGUUGGUGGGGUGAUGGCCUACCAUGGCUUCGACGGGUAGCUGGUCUGAGAGGACGAUCAGCCACACUGGGACUGAGACACGGCCCAGACUCCUACGGGAGGCAGCAGUGGGGAAUCUUGCGCAAUGGGCGGAAGCCUGACGCAGCAACGCCGCGUGCGGGAUGACGGCUUUCGGGUUGUAAACCGCUUUCAGUGGGGACGAUGUUGACGGUACCCACAGAAGAAGCCCCGGCCAACUACGUGCCAGCAGCCGCGGUAACACGUAGGGGGCGAGCGUUGUCCGGAUUUAUUGGGCGUAAAGAGCUCGUAGGCGGCUCGGUAAGUCGGGUGUGAAAUCCUCAGGCUCAACCUGGGGUGGCCAUUCGAUACUGCUGUGGCUUGAGUCCAGUAGGGGAGUGUGGAAUUCCCGGUGUAGCGGUGAAAUGCGCAGAUAUCGGGAGGAACACCGGCGGCGAAGGCGGCACUCUGGGCUGGUACUGACGCUGAGGAGCGAAAGCGUGGGUAGCGAACAGGAUUAGAUACCCUGGUAGUCCACGCCGUAAACGUUGGGCACUAGGUGUGGGGCCUUCUUCAACAGGGUUCCGUGCCGUAGCUAACGCAUUAAGUGCCCCGCCUGGGGAGUACGG